GACGAACCGAGCGAACGUUGUUCGGAAUCACUGGGCUUAAAGGGCGCGUAGGCGGGUUUGCAAGUCCGGGGUGAAAUCCCACAGCUCAACUGUGGAACUGCCUCGGAUACUGUGAGUCUCGAGGGUGGCAGGGGUAUGCGGAACUAUCGGUGGAGCGGUGAAAUGCGUUGAUAUCGAUAGGAACUCCGGUGGCGAAGGCGGCAUACUGGUCCACUUCUGACGCUG
rnacentral:rRNA from 1 species